rnacentral:rRNA from 1 species
AAGUCGUAACAAGGUUUGAUGAGACGAGAUCGUCCUCGGAAGCCUUUGCCACAACGACUCUAACCAUGUGGUACAGUCUGAAAGUGAUUCUUUCCAGGCGACGUCGCCCCUGUGCUGGGACCCUGUAAUUUAAGUUAUGGCGGACCAGCAGCCAGUGUUCUGGUUCACAGAUUAAGUGGUGGCGGUCUCGGUUGGUUGAGCUGCGAUCAAGAUAUAAUCGGUUCUCUAUCUCUAUUUAUAGAGGUGACAUGUUCCGUAGGUGAACCUGCGGAAGGAUCAUUA